AGGAGAGUGGAAUUUCGUGUGUAGGGGUGAAAUCCGUAGAUCUACGAAGGAACGCCAAAAGCGAAGGCAGCUCUCUG
rnacentral:ncRNA from 1 species